GAUGAACGCUAGCGGCAGGCCUAAUACAUGCAAGUCGAGGGGCAGCGGGAAUAGCAAUAUUUGCCGGCGACCGGCGCACGGGUGCGUAACACGUAUACAAUCUGCCCAUAUCAGGGGGAUAGCCCGGAGAAAUCCGGAUUAAUACCCCAUAAUAGUCGAGGAGGCAUCUUCUUGAUUUGAAAGCUACGGCGGAUAUGGAUGAGUAUGCGUCUGAUUAGUUAGUUGGUGAGGUAACGGCUCACCAAGACCACGAUCAGUAGGG
rnacentral:rRNA from 1 species